UACGAGGGGGGCAAGCGUUGUUCGGAAUUACUGGGCGUAAAGGGCUCGUAGGCGGCCAACUAAGUCAUACGUGAAAUCCCUCGGCUUAACCGGGGAACUGCGUCUGAUACUGGAUGGCUUGAGAUUGGGAGAGGGAUGCGGAAUUCCAGGUGUAGCGGUGAAAUGCGUAGAUAUCUGGAGGAACACCGGUGGCGAAGGCGGCAUCCUGGACCAACACUGACGCUGAGGAGCGAAAGCGUGGGUAGCAAACAGG
rnacentral:rRNA from 1 species